ensembl:rRNA 5S_rRNA 5S ribosomal RNA
GUCUACGACCAUACCAUCCUGUAUGUUCCUGAUCUCGUCUGAUCUUGGAAGGUAAGCAGGGUCGGGCCUGGUUAGUACUUGGAUGGAAGACUGCCUGGGAAUACCGGGUGCUUUCACU